GGGCGUGCUGGAAUCUCGCAAGAAACUGUUCGAGCAGCUGCUGUGGCAGCACCGCGGGCUUUCUGACGCGCAUGCAGCACUUCAGCUCACGCACAGCCAGUGCCAAGCCGCGCUACCGGAACCUUCCCAGCUGGAUGAGCUUGUAAGCCGCAUUGCUGCCCUCCAAGGAGAGAAGGAGAAGCUUUCCCUCUAGCACCAGAAUGAAUUGCAGGCUCAGAAAAAUGAGACCGCCCGGCUCAAGGAAGAGCUGAUCCAGCUCGGGCUGCGACAUGAUAGCGCCCUGAAAGAGGUCGUCCAGGCCGGAAAAGCCGAGGUGGAGGAAGCUAAAACUGCUUUGAUUGAGCUGCAUGAGCAGGAGGUGAGGGAAGUCCAGGACCGGUUGCACAAGGACAUUGAAGAAGAAAGGGAUCUGCGGGAGCUGGAGAGGCAGCGGAACAACUAGCUGCAGCUAGUCCAGAUUUCGUAUGGCAAGAUCAUCAAGGACCUGGAUGAUAAGAUCCGGAGUAAGCAUCCCCUUUCUUAUCUGUAGUUCUUCCUAUCUUGCCGGUUUGUUCUUAUAACGGUUUCUUUUGUUCAUUUCUGCAGCCGUCUUCCCUGAGUCACAGGCACGUGCUGAAGCGGCCGUUGCUAAGGUCAGGGUCGAGGAUCCGGCUUCUGAUGCCGCCCCCUAGACCACAGAGGAACAUGUUACCGCUCUCUCUACUCGCGUGACUCAUAUGACCAAGCUUGCUAAGCUCCCAGAUGCCGCAAUUCAAGCCUUCAAGUGGCUCUGGCCUGGUGAAACAUUUCCGGACCGUAUUGAUGCCCUCUGUGCCCGGCUUAAUGAGUGUGGUGCCCGGCUUCAUGAAUGGCGGCGUUCUGCCGCACGUUCUGGUGCAGACACCGCUCUGCGGUUUGUUUGCUCCUGGUAUGAAGACCUGGACUUGGAUGCUCUGGCUAUGCUACGCUUUGGUGCUCCUACUGACACCGAUCCGGUUCUUACCGCCAAGCGCCGCGAGCGAGCUUACCAAGUGGCCCAUUAUGCCUCCGUGAGCACUUUCAUACCGGCGCCGGAAGAUUUUGAAGAUGCUGAAAGUGAUGAUGAAGUUGAAGAAACCGCUGAAGAUGCCACUGCCAAUGCUGAACCAGCUGCGUCUGGCCAAGCUCCAGAAAGCUCUUCGCCGGAGUAUGCAUGAUAAACUUUGGUCCUAUCCUCAAAAACAAUUCGUGAAAUGCCCGGUAUGCCGGGUUUGAUGAUGUAAUAUACACUUUAAGUCCUUUCGGUCCGUUGAACUUAUUAGGUCUGGUAUGUUUGAACUUAUUAGGUUCGGUUUGUCUGAACUUGUUAUGUCAAGUACUCCGGGUUCGAUCCCGAGUUCAAUUUAGUGUUUGCUUAGCUUUU